CGGACUAAUCAUUGUAAAAAGAAAAUCCGUUGGCUUUAUAGACCAUGAGGGUUCAAGUCCCUCUACCCCCA
rnacentral:tRNA from 1 species